AUUGAACGCUGGCGGUAGGCCUAACACAUGCAAGUCGAACGGUAACACAAUAAGAUCUUCCUCUUUCGGGUCGCGUGUCGCACGCGGGUGAGGUAUACAUCAUAAUCCAUUUUUUCGUGGGGGAUCUCGUAGAGACACUUACUAUAAUACCUCAUACUCUCUACCCCAAAGAGCAGGACCUCUUCGUACCUUGCCAUCGUGAAUGACCCGAUGUGGUAUUCGCUAGUUGGCGGGGUAAAGGCUCACCUACGCGACGAUCCCUAGCUGGUCUGAGAGGAUGACCAGCCACACUGGAACUGAGACACGGUCCAGGCUCCUACGGGAGGCAGCAGUGGGAAAUAUUGCACAAUGGGCGCAAGCCUGAUGCAGCCAUGCCGCGUGUAUGAAGAAGGCCUUCGGGUUGUAAAGUACUUUCAGCGGGGAGAAAGGGAGUAAAGUUAAUACCUUUGCUCAUUGACGUUACCCGCAGAAGAAGCACCGGCUAACUCCGU
rnacentral:rRNA from 1 species